rnacentral:lncRNA from 1 species
GGGCACCUUCUGUGCAAUCAUUGCUCAGCUGACUGAAGAGACCCAGCCCGUCUUUGAAACAACUCUCAAAUCUAUGCUUGAUCCGAAGGGCAUGAUGCCAAAUGAUGCAUUGUGAUAGGAUACCCACUGCCAGAGGUGACCUGGUACAAAGAUAAUGAAGAGAUGGACCGAUACUGUGGAUUGCCGAAAUAUGAGAUUUUGAGACAUGGGAACCGGCAUACCCUGCAGUUAUACAAGUGUCAAGAGGAGGAUGCAGCUAUUUACCAGGCCUCGGCAAGAAACAACAAGGGCAUUGUGUCCUGUUCUGGGGUCCUGGAGGUUGGAACCAUGACAGAGUACAAAAUCCACCAACGGUGGUUUGCCAGACUCAAAAGGAAUGCUGAAGCCAAGCUGUAUGAGAUAGAGCAGAGCAGGAAGCGAGGGAAGGAGAACGUGGAGAUGGAACAGCUGAGACGAGUCAGUCCAGACAGGUUCCAGAGGAAGCGACGGUUGACCGGAGAGGUGGGGAUGCAUUCGGGGACCUCCCUCUGGGACAAGGAGGAAGUGGCCAAGGUGCGGAUCCCAGAUGGGAAGGCCUGUUUUGGUGAAGAUGAGAAUGCCAAGAACAGAGAGGCCUCUCUGACUGCCGCCACCCUGUUCCCCAAUGACUUCCUAGCAGGACAUCUGGAAACAGACGUGGGCACUGCCAACGGGGACUCUUCUCUGGAAAGCGGGGAGGAAAAUGGAGAAAGGAAUGACCGUGGCUUUCUCCAAUAUAUUUACGAGACGGUGGGAAUUGUGACCAAGGAGUUUUCAGCGAAGAAGAAGAAGAAAGAGGAAGAUAAGGCAGCUCCAUCGAAUGCAAGCCAAGAGGUCUCCCAACUAGAAGAUGGCAUGCAACCAAGGAGAAAGGUCUCCAUGCAGAAGGAGGCUGGGCCUGCUGUCCCAUCCCCAAAGUCGCAUCCCUAUAGUCAACGGAAGGUCAGUGGAAACCCAACCCCAAGAGAACUGCCUGCUGCAUUCCUCCCCUUCCAAACCUGAGAUGCAUUUUUCGUUGAAAGAAAUGUAUUAUGACGCUGGAGCAAAGCCUAAAGCAGAGAAGAAGGUGCCGGAAAAUAAGGCGAGGGCUAUGGAGAAGGCCCUUCCCAGCAGAGACCUUUCCAACAUGGAGGACACUCUUCCAACAACGGUUCAAGCUUUGAAAAGGGCCAAGGCAGAAGAAGAAAGAAAUGAAACCCAAGCCAGGCAGAAAUCUAAGGGCAUGGAGAUAAAGGAUGGCAAAACGGAAGCCCCUGGGACUGACCGGGAAUCAAACCGUCAGCAAUUCCAGCAUCCCAGCCGGGCAGCGGAGCCCACCACAGAGGUCCUGAUGGGACAUAAAGUGGAAUGUCCAAGCAGCAGUGCCCCCAAAAGCAAUGUUCUGCAGCCCGGCCAAGCUGGUCCACCAAGAGUUGGAAGUCCACCUGUCUUUGCAGGAGGGGAAGUCCUUCUCAUCCGUGAAACGGACUUGCUGGACUCUGCUCUCCCUGAAGCCCAGCCCGAGUUGCAGCUCCCAGAGGCUGGACCUGUGGAUUUGACCCUGCCUUUGCAGGAAGCAAGGCAAGCCCUUACCCCAGUAGCUUGGGAGGAGAGACCGUUGCCUGAUCCAGGGCCUUCUGAGGCUCUAAAUUCCAAGUUUGGGAAGGAAGUAAAAGAGAAAACCACUUGCUUUUCAAUAAGGAAAGAUAUCCUGGAAGAUUCAGAAAUAAAAUGGUCACAGAAGAAAUCUGGUUCCAGCCCAGAGGUCCAGGACUCAAGUACGGGAAAGCAACACCUGGAAGAGCACCAGCCAGCAAUUUUCCAGAAUCGUCCGGUGACUUCUCAGAAUACCCCAGGCAUUUCUUCUGGUGUCCCAUUGCCCAAUGGGAUGGACGAUCGGGUUCAGAAGGAAGAUGCGGAGAAGUAUUCUCCAGGUUGGGGCCAGGAUGAAAUCCAGUGUGGACUACCUCCUAAUCAUGAGAGUAAGCAGCCAAUUACUCCCGCAUUAACAGCCCAAGAAACCCGUUUUCAGGGUAGAUCCAAGGAUGAGUUGGACCAAGUUGCUCCUUGGACCAAAGGCAUGAGAGAAGAAGAGCAAGAAGAAGCCCCUAAAUUAUUGAGCGAGAUACACCCACCCCGCAAAUGCAUUUAG